GUAGUGUCCUCGCAUGCUUUUGACGGGUAACGGGGAAUUAGGGUUCGACUCCGGAGAGGGAGCCUGAGAAACGGCUACCACAUCCAAGGAAGGCAGCAGGCGCGCAAAUUACCCAAUCCCGACACGGGGAGGUAGUGACAAGAAAUACCGAUACAGGGCCUUUUAUGGUCUUGUGAUUGGAAUGAGUACAAUUUAAAUCCAUUAACGAGGAGCAAGCACAGGGCAAGUCUGGUGCCAGCAGCCGCGGUAAUUCCAGCUGUGCGAGCAUACAUUAAAGUUGUUGCAGUUAAAACGCCCGUAGUUGAAAAUCGGGCCUGGGCCGCCGGUCCGCCUCACCGCGUGCACUGGUCGGCCCGGGUCUUUCUCCCUGGAAAUCCGCAUGCCCUUUGCUGGGCGUGCCGGGGGACCAGGACUGUUACUGUGAAAAAAUCAGAGUGUUCAAAGCAGGCCUUUGCUCGAAUGCCUUAGCAUGGAAUAACGGAAUACGACGACAGUGGUCGUGUUUCGUUGGUUUUUACGACCGUCGUGAUGAUUAAUAGGGAUGGUCGGGGGCAUCGGUAUUCGAUC
rnacentral:rRNA from 1 species